UCUGGAGGCUGGAAGCUCAACAUCAGAGUGCCAGCAUGAUCAGGUUCUGGAGAGGAUCCUCUUCCUGGUUGCAGACUGCUGACUUCUUGUAUAUUCCGACAGUAAAAAGAGAACAAGGGAAUUCUCUGGAGUCUUUUUUUUUUAAUAAGGGUGUUAACCCCAUUUAAGAGGGUUCCCCCUUAUGAUCUAAUUAUCUCUCAAAAGCCCUACCUUUCAAUACCAUUGCAUGGAAUAUCUUUACCAUGCUGGAUUGAAAGAGAAAAGACCAUCAGUAAAGCAAAUGGAUCAAAUGGAGUUAUAAAUCAACUCUGUCCUCUUUAGAGGAUUGACUCAACUGCAUACAUCUCCAAUACAUGCCCUUGUGGCUUUAUUUGUUUUCUGUUUAUGUGGAAAAAUACAGUAAACAGAGUUAACUAUCCCAAGACAGAAGAGUAUU